ACAGCAGUCGCCGCGGGAAUACAGAGGGUGCGAGCGUUAAUCGGAUUUACUGGGAGUAAAGCGUGCGUAGGCGGCUUCUUAAGUCGGAUGUGAAAUCCCUGAGCUUAACUUAGGAAUUGCAUUCGAUACUGGGAAGCUAGAGUAUGGGAGAGGAUGGUAGAAUUCCAGGUGUAGCGGUGAAAUGCGUAGAGAUCUGGAGGAAUACCGAUGGCGAAGGCAGCCAUCUGGCCUAAUACUGACGCUGAGGUACGAAAGCAUGGGGAGCAAACAGGAUUAGAUACCCCCGUAGUCCCUGUCUCUUAUAC
rnacentral:rRNA from 1 species